rnacentral:rRNA from 1 species
GCAUAUCAAUAAGCGGAGGAAAAGAAACCAACAGGGAUUGCCUCAGUAACGGCGAGUGAAGCGGCAACAGCUCAAAUUUGAAAUCUGGCCUCACGGUCCGAGUUGUAAUUUGUAGAGGAUGCUUCGAGCAUGGUCUGGCCUAAGUUCCUUGGAACAGGACGUCAUAGAGGGUGAGAAUCCCGUAUGCGGCCAGGUGCCUACGCUCAUGUGAAGCUCCUUCGACGAGUCGAGUUGUUUGGGAAUGCAGCUCAAAAUGGGUGGUAAAUUUCAUCUAAAGCUAAAUAUUGGCCAGAGACCGAUAGCGCACAAGUAGAGUGAUCGAAAGAUGAAAAGCACUUUGGAAAGAGAGUUAAACAGUACGUGAAAUUGUUGAAAGGGAAGCGCUUGCAACCAGACUUGCGUGCGGCCGAUCAUCCGGUGUUCUCACCGGUGCACUCGGUCGCGCUCAGGCCAGCAUCGGUUUUGGUGGUUGGAUAAAGGCCCUAGGAAUGUAGCUUCUCUCGGGGAGUGUUAUAGCCUAGGGUGCAAUGCAGCCCACCGGGACCGAGGACCGCGCUUCGGCUAGGAUGCUGGCGUAAUGGUUGUAAGCGACCCGUCUUGAAACACGGACCAAGGAGUCUAACAUCUAUGCGAGUGUUUGGGUGUCAAACCCAUACGCGUAAUGAAAGUGAACGGAGGUGAGAACCCUUAAGGGUGCAUCAUCGACCGAUCCUGAUGUCUUCGGAUGGAUUUGAGUAAGAGCAUAGCUGUUGGGACCCGAAAGAUGGUGAACUAUGCCUGAAUAGGGUGAAGCCAGAGGAAACUCUGGUGGAGGCUCGCAGCGGUUCUGACGUGCAAAUCGAUCGUCAAAUUUGGGCAUAGGGGCGAAAGACUAAUCGAACCAUCUAGUAGCUGGUUCCUGCCGA